UGAACCUCACCAAGCCCAGCACCUUUGCGUAAGCUCAGUGCAUACUCAGGCAGCAGGUAGCCUGAAAACAAGAGGCACAUCUGGGAGGGAGAGGGGAAAUGUGCUGCUCACCACCAGGCAGUCAGUACUGCCCAGACAGGUUCAGCCACACCAUUGUGUCACCACACGAAGACCAAGAAGGACCACAUCUGGGUGAAUGUUUGCUGAAGGUCUUACAAGCAGACGUUGCCAUCCAGAAGGGCACCAAGUGCUGAUUUAUGCCCUGGGAGUGAUGGCAGUCCAUCCAAGAGCUGUGAUUACCUGUUCCACACCUUCCUGCCUUUCAGGACUCUGCUUUCCUGCUGGAUUUAUGGCACUCCAAACAAGCAGUGCUUCAUCAAACCUGGAUUUGGGUCAACACUGCUUUCCUUUCUACUUUACUCUCCUGUCUCAGGUUCAAGGGUGCAAAUGUCAGAAUGCAAAGAGCUACUGAGGGCUAGAGAGCCAUGGUUGCUAUUUCUUUUAAUGCAGCACAUUCCUCACAAAUGCAAGAGUCCUGAGAACAGCCCAGAGGCAGAAGCCCACCACCAAAGCCUGCUUUGCUUCCUGUGUUUCCCUCUCUCGGUGAGAUGUAGGCUGUGUUCACAUCUUCUGGCAUCUGAGGUGCAACAGGUGAUGGGAUGCAGCUGUAAGAAGAUGAUGACUGCGUCAAAAAAGCCAGCACUCCGAAAUAGCACACAGUGAAAUACCACAGCAAUUCUCAUUUGAAGUCUAUAGUGGGAGAGAAAUUUCCAAAAAUGAAGGGCAAGGUUCCUAAUCCAUAGCAGCUUUUUGCCAGAAAGAUGUGGGAGAGAAGAAACAAGAUGCAUCCUGCAUGAAUCAUCACAGUAACCACCCUGGAUUUAUUAACUGAAAUUAUGAGGAACACCAAAAAUGAUUAAAACCUCAAAAUGUCUGGUGGAAGGCAUCUUCUCAAGGACUGACUAUUGUAAGCUAUUGCUGUAGUCUUCCUGUUGAUAUUAAAGCAGCCAGGACUAAAAGGGCCGAG